rnacentral:rRNA from 1 species
CGGACCCGGAAUAGGGUCGCGAGAGGUGACCGUUCACUUCGGCUGGCUCCCACACAUGUGCUGCGUGGCUGUCCUCCGCUCGUGUCGAGAGAUGUUGGGUUAACUCCCGCAACGAGCCCCCCCCUCUUCUUCACUUGCCAUCGGUCAGGCCGGCCACUCUGAAAAAACCGCCGGUGACAAGGAAGAGGAAGGGGGGGAUGACAUCAAGUCCUCAUGGCCCUUACGGGCUGGGCUACACACGUGCUACAAUGGCGGUGACAAUGGGAUGCAAUGGGGCGACCCUGAACCAAUCUCAAAAAGCCGUCUCAUUUCGGAUUGCACUCUGCAACUCGAGUGCAUGAAGUUGGAAUCGCUAAUAAUCGUGGAUCAACACGCCACGGAGAAUACUUUCCCGGGUCUUGUACACACCGA